rnacentral:rRNA from 1 species
GACGGGUAGCCGGCCUGAGAGGGCGACCGGCCACACUGGGACUGAGACACGGCCCAGACUCCUACGGGAGGCAGCAGUGGGGAAUAUUGCACAAUGGGCGAAAGCCUGAUGCAGCGACGCCGCGUGAGGGAUGACGGCCUUCGGGUUGUAAACCUCUUUCAGCAGGGAAGAAGCGCAAGUGACGGUACCUGCAGAAGAAGCGCCGGCUAACUACGUGCCAGCAGCCGCGGUAAUACGUAGGGCGCAAGCGUUGUCCGGAAUUAUUGGGCGUAAAGAGCUCGUAGGCGGCUUGUCGCGUCGGAUGUGAAAGCCCGGGGCUUAACCCCGGGUCUGCAUUCGAUACGGGCAGGCUAGAGUGUGGUAGGGGAGAUCGGAAUUCCUGGUGUAGCGGUGAAAUGCGCAGAUAUCAGGAGGAACACCGGUGGCGAAGGCGGAUCUCUGGGCCAUUACUGACGCUGAGGAGCGAAAGCGUGGGGAGCGAACAGGAUUAGAUACCCUGGUAGUCCACGCCGUAAACGUUGGGAACUAGGUGUUGGCGACAUUCCACGUCGUCGGUGCCGCA